rnacentral:rRNA from 1 species
UACGUAGGAUGCAAGCGUUGUCCGGAAUUAUUGGGCGUAAAGAGCGCGCAGGCGGUCUGGCAAGUCAGAUGUGAAAGAGGCCGGCUUAACCGGCAAGGGUCAUUUGAAACUGCCAGACUAGAGUGCAGCAGAGGAUAGCGGAAUUCCCGGUGUAGUGGUGAAAUGCGUAGAUAUCGGGAGGAACACCAGUGGCGAAGGCGGCUAUCUGGGCUGCAACUGACGCUGAGGCGCGAAGGCUAGGGUAGCAAACAGG